rnacentral:lncRNA from 12 species
GGACAUAUUUGGGCUACACAGAUGUUUAUCUACUUUCAUGAAGUAAGCUAAGGGCAAAAAGGAGCAAGUUGUUCAUUUCCAAUUCUCUGCUCUAUUGACCACAGCACAUUUCCUGUGUUAGAUAACUCUGCCCCAGGUGAGCUCUGUGGGCAUGGGCAAGAUCACUUCAGGUUAUGGUCACAAAUUCUUAGCCCAAGAGACCUGAGUGUACCAUGAAUAAGCUCAAAUUCCAUUGGUGUGUUACAAGAGUUCUGCUGAGCCCCCCAACCCCCCCUGAGACACCUCUGAAAUCCCAUGAAAGCAAUUCCACUGUGCUGCUUACCAUGGGAUGGAGGAGUCUCCUCAGUGCUGGUGCUUGGGGAUCUGCUGAGGGGGAAAGGAGAGCAGCUGAUGCCAAAGGAGGGACUGAGACAUCCCAGAGCUGCUCACAUCCACGUGGUUCCAAGCUCUGGUGCUGCAUCUGUUGGAUCCAAGGGGCUGUUCAGCCCUUGCUGGGAAACACCACACUGCAGAAAUAUUAACUGAGCUUCCCAAGGAACAGAGGCUGCUGAUGGAGAAAGUCAGUCUUCAGUUAAUUGACUUAUUUCAGUCAAGGGUUUGUGGGGAAUUCUCAUGAGAUUGGAACUGGAAACACAUUUUGCAGCAGUAGAAGCGUGAGAGACGUGAACCUUGCCAGCCAAGAUCUGCCUGGAACUGCUUUUUGGCAUUGUCCUAUCACAUACAUCUUCUGUUUGACAAAUGAAUCAGUUAAGCAAGAACUGCAUCAAAUCAUAUCAGAAAUCACGUUUUCAUCUUAUUUACAAAGAACUUGAAAGUACAGGAUUUUUUGUGCCAAUUCCCC